rnacentral:tRNA from 1 species
GGGGCUGUAGCUCAGUUGGGAGAGCGCCUGCUUUGCAAGCAGGAUGUCGUGGGUUCAAAUCCCUCCAGUUCCA